CAGACGAUCCACAUUAAACCACACACUGGCUGCUGUUUGUCUUCUGUGGACACAAAUCAACUCUUUUUUUUACUGACUGUCGUGAUGUGACAAGACAAUAUUGCCUCGUUUUAUAAUGAGGGAAACAUUAUAGACACUUGUUUCUUCCUCUUGUGCUUUUACAAAAUGUGUCGCCUUUCAUAGACUUAGGAAAAAAUAAUCAGAUUUGCUACAACCAUACACUGUUAAGUGUAUAACUAUCUAUUUUACUCCAGAAAUAAAUGAAUACGGUCGUUGUUGUGUUUGGUUUCGCAGGGAGAAGGAGGAUUUGAUGNNNNNNNNNNAGGAGGAUUUGAUGGUCUGAAGGUGGAUCAGUUUCAUCGCCACAAUAGUCCAUCAGCAUUUUAAUGUCUUUUGUUUCAUUUGCGUUGAUUUCAAAUGCAUCGAUCAGGCCUGUAGUGUUUUUGUUUCAUCAUGCCUCUCGAUCUGGACAGUGACGCAGCGGCGAACAAAACGAGUCCAGAGGCGGAACAGGAAGUGUGUGAGGUCACACAUGAAGAGAGAGUGACGGACACACCAACACGAAGAGUUGGACGACCCGCUCGAAAACGCAAAACACCAGGAGAAACUACAGUUGCAGCAGGCGGAAGUUUGAAGAGUGUGAGAGAGAGAGAGACAGAUACAGAGGGAGGUAGAGAGAGAAAGACGAGGUGCUGUAGCCUGCAGGUCUCUGAUGAU
rnacentral:lncRNA from 1 species